AAAAUCUGCAAGGAAAAAGCCAAGCAGGGUGAGCCUUCGAGCCAGAUCCCAGGGAAAUCAGGGGGAGCUUUGCUUCUUUGAUGGCAUCUGAGGAGCCUGGUUAAUUAAAAGAGCUUAACUUGACUUGUGUGGGCUCCAAACCUGCAGCAAUAUGAGGGAGAUACUUUAGCCUAAAAGCACACAACACAGCCUCAAGUGAAUAAAAGAAUUCACAGCUCAGCAAACAGCACGUGAGUUGGAAGAGCUUCCCAUCUUGGUGGGUCCUUGCAAAAGCUGGAAGCCUGGCUGGAGCUGUGCAGGAACACUGGGGAGCUCAGGAAGAGUGGGAAACUGCUUUAGGCACAGACGCUACAGUCUGUGGCAAGAGAACGGGAGUGCAAAGAUCGUGGUGCUCGCCAGGAACUUGCAGAACGCCCAGACAACCACCAAGAGCCUGGGCACAGCCAGCGGGGAAGGAGUGCCCGGGUGCCCUGGAACGCUGCCUUGCAGCAGCACCUCGCACAGAUGCCUUGUGCAACUGCAGCGUGUCCAAGUGCAGAUUCACAUGCAGGGAGCAGAGGUGUGCUCGGGUAUCAUCAACAUCACCAAGGAAGCCACAGACCAAAAAUACAGAGAGGUUUUUAACCUCUGGGAGAAAACGACCUGUGGUGUUACCCUGUAUGAGAGACUCAGUGAGGAGUCUGUGAAGGGGGACGGGGAUGCCUCUGGUUUAUUAAAGGAGACAGAAAAAUUGUAGAAUAUGUGAGUUCAGGAAUAGUUUCACCCGCUGUCCUGAAUGAGCCAGGUCGCUGAAAGUCUUGCUGGAGGUUCCAGCAUUUGCACUUUCCAGGCAUUUCUCUCCUGUUCAGGGAGUGUCAGCCUGGUUGUGCAGGGAGGAGCAGCUCAGCCCAGAGAGGGCAAAGCCCCAUCCCAGGUUAUCCAGCAGGACAUGGAUUAAGCUGAGCAUUUCCCUGAUCAGCUGAAAAGAAAUCCUCUUGUGCUGGGUCUCAGCCUCCCUCACCCUUGUCCCUUGCAGGGUGCUGGAUUCCCGGGCGGUGGCUCCUGGGCAGCCCUUCACAAAGUGGCACUCACAAGGACCUCUUGUUCCGACGUGUUCUGCUCCUGUCACAGCCCUGCGCGUGUCGAACCGCCCGUGGGGGAUGCCAGACCUGUUCUCCCUGCAGAGA